UACGUAGGGUGCGAGCGUUAAUCGGAAUUACUGGGCGUAAAGCGUGCGCAGGCGGUGAUGUGAGACAGGUGUGAAAUCCCCGGGCUUAACCUGGGAACUGCAUUUGUGACUGCAUCGCUGGAGUGCGGCAGAGGGGGAUGGAAUUCCGCGUGUAGCAGUGAAAUGCGUAGAUAUGCGGAGGAACACCGAUGGCGAAGGCAACCCCCUGGGCCUGCACUGACGCUCAUGCACGAAAGCGUGGGGAGCAAACAAG
rnacentral:rRNA from 1 species